CCCGAUCCCUUCUCCCCUCACCUCGCGAUGCCGCCCCCGCCUCCUCCGCCGACCUCUUCUUUCCCCGAUCUCGCUGAAGCUCCUCCUCCCUUUCCCUCUUGCGAUUUUUCCCUUGGUAGAUCGCCGACCACCGCUCCUCUCUCGAUCCCGUCGCCACCACCGAAUCGCCGUUGCGUGGUCGUCCCUCUGCUAGCCACGGACACCAAGUGCAUGUCGGAAGCCUUCAUUUUUGUGCUCGUGCCCUUGCCCCAGCCGCUCACUCUUGCGAGCCCUAAUCACCCGAUGUUGCUGAUCGACGCUCGUAGCUGAUCACCUGUCCAAGACGAGGUGCAACCUUGACACAGUAAGUAACCCAACACCUUGGUCCUGAUGCGUUGCCGAUCAUCGCAAUCAGCAGCUGCUUCUUCUUCCCCUGCACGAGAGCUGCCGACCGAGGAAAAGAGGCACUAUCUCUAGGGGUCCAGCUAUACUUUUUCUUCUCCUCUCGCCUUCAAGGUGCGAUUGAUAACUGGCUUAGAGUCACUCGAUCACACUGAGAAUAACCACUACCGGUUAAAGAAUUGGGGAUCAUUUGAGGGAUGCUCUUUGGUAGCUGUCGGGCAGAGGCUUGUAAGGCUGUGAGUUUUUGAUUUGCUGCUAUACCUCAAGGUAAGUGAUUUUCAGUGAGGUAUCUCUGUUAUUUCCAUUAGUAGGUUGCUAAAUUGGAUUUUCUAAGGGGUGUAGGGUUGUGUUCUUGCUUAGAUCAAUUAGUAGUGAAUGGUUGUUCAUGUGUGGUUAAUGGAGUUGAUUUCAGAUUUCUUGUGGUGGUUGGGUGGUUAAUUUAAGUUUAUUGUGAGGUAGGAUUGAUUCAUUUGUGUGUUUGGAGAUUAGUGUACAUUUUGUUGAUGAUUUGGUUGUUAAGUGAUGAUGAUGCUAGGUUUGAUUACAUGUGGUUACUAAAUAUGAAUGUGAAUUGGAAGAUGAAAUAAUCGGUUUUGAUUGGGGAUUAGUGAAUUUUGUUGGAUGAUAUGAUUAAACUUAAAAUUAAUCAAUUGCAUGAAUUGAGUAUGUUGGAUUUAAGUUGAAUUGACUUAUUAGUAAAUGGAUUGCUAUAUGAAUCAAUUCAAGAGUUGAUAAGGUUGGGAUUAGAUUUGGAUUUAGCUAGUUGUUGAUUAUAAAAUUAGUUAAAUUGUAUAAUAUAUGAUUUGUAGGACGUUGUUUCGAGAUGAGCACUUCGACACGGGGGUUUGUUUAGCUCGAUCUAUAUUAAAGGUGGGUACUUCUUACUUUGACUCUUUAGUUCUUUGAACUUAGUGCAUGAGCUAACUUUGGUUAGAAACGGCUUUUACCUUGACUCCACUCUUAUUUUUCCUGCGCUUGAUACUUCCACUCGAUCUUUGAGAUAUUCAUCUUUAUAUCUAUACAGUCUCUCAUUGUUAUCCAUGAUAGGUAGCAUGCAGAUACUAGAUACCAUGGUUGUAUGCUUUAACUGUUAUUUAUUUAAGUAUCGUAUUGAGCAUGUUGACUUCAUGUAACAUACCUAUUUUUUUUUUUGCUUAUAUUGGUAUGAUGACUUGUUUAUUUAUGUACCGUAUCGAGCAUGAUGGCUUCAUGUAGCAUACCUAAUUUCUGCUUAUAUUUGUAUGAUGAUUGUUGCAUCUUACACAUCAUGUCAUUGCAUGCAUGUCAAUGACAAAUUCUCCCUUGUGGUCGAGAGAGUCGUUGACUAGGGUCGCACGCUCAUCCACUUGAGAGAGUGGUAGUUGGAGCAGAUGCCGCUUGUCCUGUCGUGCUCCCACUCGGUCACUCAUAGGUAGUGAUAGCUAGAGUUGCGAGCAGCAGGGACCCCCGUUGCAGACGUAGCUAGUUAGCUACUAUGCAACUGUCCCCUCAGCCACUCGAGAGAGUGGUAGCUGGAGUGGUGUACAGUCUGUCAUUGACCCGACCUCUUGACCAUAUAAGGGUCAUGGUGCAGAGAGGUGGGCGGGAGUGACCAUCCAUGCAUACGCUGUUAUUAUAUUUGCUUUGGCUGCUGCUAUUUACAUAUGUUUUUAUUGCUUACUUAUGUUGAUGUGGUAUACUUAUGCUGUUAUAGCUUACUGUUGUUGUUCACUUAUGCGGAUAUGCUUACUUAUGUUGAGAUAUACACUCAUUGUAGGUGUUUAGACACUAUUUAUUUAUUGGUAAAAUGGAUACAUCUCACAUAUUUACCCUUGCAGUUAUAGGCAGUUCUGUAGCAGGUUUGUGUCACCCCUGACCUUCUAUUACCUAGCCUAGGAUAUGGUUUCAGGUAUCAGGUAGAUGAGUCAUGGAUGCUUGGAGAGAUGUUGCUUGCCAGUCUUGCAUUAUAUCUGAGGAAUGAUUUUGGUUUUUGUUUCUCUUUACUUGCAUUUCGUAUUCGUUGGAUUUGGUGUUGUGAGAACUAACUAUGUUUUGACACUGGUUGUGUGGACUUUGUAUCUGCGAUGUUUUGUGGACUCUGCAUUUGUGGGUUUUUUUUCCGUUAUUUCGUUGUGUUUUCAGUGCAGCCGUGUGGGUUGUUAGUGAUAUAAACUGUGUUGGUGUUGUUGUUU